UGAAUACGAGACGCUAAGGCGUCGAAGUAGUGUAUGUCAUACUUCCAAGAAAAGCUUGCACUGUCAUAAGUAAAAAAUGCCUGUACCAUAACCGACACAGGUGGGUAGGUAGAGUAUACUAAGGGGCGCGAGAUAACUCUCUCUAAGGAACUCGGCAAAAUAACUCCGUAACUUCGGGAGAAGGAGUACCUUAUUCUAUAAGGUUGCAAUAACAAGAUCCAAGCAACUGUUUAUCAAAAACACAGGUCUCCGCUAAGUCGUAAGACGAUGUAUGGGGGCUGACGCCUGCCCAGUGCCAGAAGGUUAAAGAAGUCGGUUAGCAUUAGCGAAGCUGGUAACUGAAGCCCUGGUGAACGGCGGCCGUAACUAUAACGGUCCUAAGGUAGCGAAAUUCCUUGUCGGGUAAGUUCCGACCCGCACGAAAGGCGUAAUGAUUUGGAUACUGUCUCGGAGAGGGGCUCGGUGAAAUAGACUUGUCUGUGAAGAUGCGGACUACCUGCACCAGGACAGAAAGACCCUAUGAAGCUUUACUGUAACUUGAAAUUGAAAUUGGACUUUAUUCGCGCAGUAUAGGUGGGAGGUGUUGAUUAUAAUCUUGCGGGAUUAUUGGAGCCAUCAGUGAGAUACCACUCUUGUAAUGUUAGAUUUCUAACUUUGAAUCAUUAUCUGGUCAAAGGACAGUUUCAGGCGGGCAGUUUGACUGGGGCGGUCGCCUCCCAAACGGUAACGGAGGCGUACAAAGGUUUCCUCUGAACGGGUAGAAAUCGUAUCUAGAGUGUAAAGGCAUAAGGAAGCUUGACUGUGAGACCUACAAGUCGAACAGGGACGAAAGUCGGUCUUAGUGAUCUGACGGUACUGAGUGGAAAGGCCGUCACUCAACGGAUAAGUUACUCUAGGAUAACAGGCUGAUCUCCCCCAAGAGUUCACAUCGACGGGGAGGUUUGGCACCUCGAUGUCGGCUCAUCGCAUCCUGGGGCGGUAGUACGUCCCAAGGGUUGGGCUGUUCGCCCAUGAAAGCGGUACGCGAGCUGGGUUCAGAACGUCGUGAGACAGUUCGGUCCAUAUCCGGUGUAGGCGUUAGAAUAUUGAGAGGAGCCUUCUUUAGUACGAGAGGACCGAGAAGGACAUACCUCUGGUGUACCAGUUAUCGUGCCAACGGUAAACGCUGGGUAGCUAUGUAUGGAGUGGAUAACCGCUGAAAGCAUCUAAGUGGGAAGCCCACCUCAAGAUAAGUAUUC
rnacentral:rRNA from 1 species